rnacentral:rRNA from 1 species
UUAAUUUGACUCAACACGGGAAAACUUACCAGGUCCAGACAUAGUGAGGAUUGACAGAUUGAGAGCUCUUUCUUGAUUCUAUGGGUGGUGGUGCAUGGCCGUUCUUAGUUGGUGGAGUGAUUUGUCUGGUUAAUUCCGUUAACGAACGAGACCCCUGCCUGCUAAAUAGGUUGCCUAGUGAAUUUCACUGGGUGAAUCUUCUUAGAGGGACGUGCAUUCUAUUAGAUGCAGGAAGAUAGGGGCAAUAACAGGUCUGUGAUGCCCUUAGAUGUCCUGGGCCGCACGCGCGCUACACUGAUGCAUUCAACGAGUUCUACCUUGGCCGAGAGGCCUGGGCAAUCUUUUGAACCUGCAUCGUGAUAGGGAUAGAUUAUUGCAAUUAUUAAUCUUGAACGAGGAAUUCCUAGUAAACGCAGAUCAUCAAUCUGCAUUGAUUACGUCCCUGCCCUUUGUACACACCGCCCGUCGCACCUACCGAUUGAAUGGUCCGGUGAAGCCUCGGGAUUGUGGCGAGUUCCCUUUAUUGGGAGUUUGUCGCGAGAACUUGUCUAAACCUUAUCAUUUAGAGGAAGGUGAAGUCGUAACAAGGCAAAGUUGUCACAAAAUCGGGGACAGCGACUGUUUAAUAAAAACACAGGUUUCUGCUAAUUUGUAAAAGAUGUAUUGAAACUGACGCCUGCCCAGUGCUGUAAGAUUAAAGGAAGAGGUCUUUUGGCUUUGACCCUAACCCCCAGUAAACGGCGGCUGUAACUCUGACGGUCCUAAGGUAGCGAAAUUCCUUGGCAUUUAAUUGGUGUCCUGCAUGAAUGGCGUAACGACUGUCCCACUGUCUCCAACGUAAACUCAGUGAAAUUGAAUUUUCCGUGAAGAUGCGGAAUUCCUGCGGCUAGACGGAAAGACCCCGUGCACCUUUACUGCAGUUAUAUAUUGUAAUGUAAAUUUUUUUGUGUAGAAUAAGUGGGAAAUUGUUAAUAUCUGUUUACACAAGUAAAUAAGUUAAAUAUCGUUGAAAUACCACUCUGUAAAAUUUUUCAUUACUUAUUUUAUUAAAAGACAGUGUAUAAUGGGUAGUUUGACUGGGGCGGUCGCCUCCUAAAGAGUAACGGAGGCGUGCAAAGGUAGAUUUGAGUUGAACUAGAACAACUUUAAAGCAUAAUAGUAUAUAUUUGCCUGACUGUAAGAUUGACAAAUCAAGCAGGGACGAAAGUCGGUUAUAGUGAUCCGGUGAUUCUGAGUGGAAAAGGUCACCGCUCAACGAAUAAAAGGUACGCCGGGGAUAACAGGCUAAUCACCCUCUAGAGACCAUAUCGACGGGGUGGUUUGGCACCUCGAUGUUGGAUUAUCGCAUCCUGGAGCUGUAGGCGGUUCCAAGGGUUUGGCUGUUCGCCAAUGAAGGCGGUACAUGAUCUGAGUUUAGAACGUUGUGAAACAGUUUGGUCCCUAUCUACCGUAGGUGUAGAAAAUUGAGAGGAGUAAACCCUAGUACGAGAGGACCGGGAAAAGUAAAUCCCUGGUGAAUCGAUUGUUAUACCAAUAGCAUAGUCGAGUAGCUACAUUUAUAAUAAAUAAUCACUGAAAGCAUCUAAGUGAGAAAUUAGCCUCAAUACAGAUUUUCUUAAAAAUGUAAUAGACUAUUACAUAGAUAGGCUUGGUGUGUAAGAGUUGUAAGACUUUUAGC